rnacentral:rRNA from 1 species
UACGAAGGGGGCUAGCGUUGCUCGGAAUUACUGGGCGUAAAGGGCGCGUAGGCGGAUAUCUAAGUCGGGGGUGAAAGCCCGGGGCUCAACCUCGGAAUUGCCUUCGAUACUGGAUAUCUUGAGUUCGGGAGAGGUGAGUGGAAUGCCGAGUGUAGAGGUGAAAUUCGUAGAUAUUCGGCGGAACACCAGUGGCGAAGGCGACUCACUGGCCCGAUACUGACGCUGAUGCGCGAAAGCGUGGGGAGCAAACAGG